CGUACACGGUCUCGGGAGAGGGAGAUUUGUUUGGACUGGGUUCUUGGAGAGGAGUGACCGAUGCAGAGCUUGGGUGGCUGUCAGGUGUGCGUUUCCUCUUCCUGGACAGAGUUUGGACAGCUUCAUCCUGAUCACCCUCUUCGGCAAUCUGUAUUUCUACAGGCGGUACGAAGGGGGGGAUGACCGAAGAUUGGGGCACCCUAAGCUCUUCGGCGGUCAAAGGCGUUAUUUUACUUUUCAGCUUUUUGGUGCGGAGGAUGCUUCUUCGAUCAGGACGAUCGAGUAGGCCUCCUCGUCGAGGGACGGAUGUGGUGGUUGGCUCAACUUCCGGGGUGACUUCGGAAGGGCUUGGAAAGGGUGUUGUUCUGGGUUUUCUGAUUGCCCUCCUCUUCUGCCGAGGACGGAGGGUCUCUUCCGAAGCAGGAACCUCAUCGGCU
rnacentral:lncRNA from 1 species